rnacentral:rRNA from 1 species
AUUAAACGCUGGCGGCAUGCCUUACACAUGCAAGUCGAACGGCAGCACGGGGGCAACCCUGGUGGCGAGUGGCGAACGGGUGAGUAAAGCAUCGGAACGUGCCCUGGAGUGGGGGAUAACGUAGCGAAAGUUACGCUAAUACCGCAUAUUCUGUGAGCAGGAAAGCAGGGGAUCGCAAGACCUUGCGCUCUGGGAGCAGCCGAUGUCGGAUUAGCUAGUUGGUGAGGUAACGGCUUACCAAGGCGACGAUCUGUAGCGGGUCUGAGAGGAUGAUCCGCCACACUGGAACUGAGACACGGUCCAGACUCCUACGGGAGGCAGCAGUGGGGAAUUUUGGACAAUGGGCGCAAGCCUGAUCCAGCCAUGCCGCGUGAGUGAAGAAGGCCU